CGGGUGAGUAACGCGUGGGAAUCUACCCAGUAGUGGGGGACAACAUGGUGAAAACCAUGCUAAUACCGCAUACGCCCUAUGGGGGAAAGCGAGGGACCUUCGGGCCUCGCGCUAUUGGAUGAGCCUGCGUCGGAUUAGCUUGUUGGUGAGGUAAAGGCUCACCAAGGCGACGAUCCGUAGCUGGUCUGAGAGGAUGAUCAGCCACACUGGAACUGGAACACGGUCCAG
rnacentral:rRNA from 1 species